rnacentral:rRNA from 1 species
GACGAACGCUGGCGGCGUGCUUAACACAUGCAAGUCGAACGAAGAGCGACGGAAGCUUGCUUCUAUCAAUCUUAGUGGCGAACGGGUGAGUAACGCGUAAUCAACCUGCCCUUCAGAGGGGGACAACAGUUGGAAACGACUGCUAAUACCGCAUACGAUCUAACCUCGGCAUCGAGGAUAGAUGAAAGGUGGCCUCUACAUGUAAGCUAUCACUGAAGGAGGGGAUUGCGUCUGAUUAGCUAGUUGGAGGGGUAACGGCCCACCAAGGCGAUGAUCAGUAGCCGGUCUGAGAGGAUGAACGGCCACAUUGGGACUGAGACACGGCCCAGACUCCUACGGGAGGCAGCAGUGGGGAAUCUUCCGCAAUGGACGAAAGUCUGACGGAGCAACGCCGCGUGAGUGAGGACGGCCUUCGGGUUGUAAAGCUCUGUUAAUCGGGACGAAAGGCCUUCUUGCGAAUAGUGAGAAGGAUUGACGGUACCGGAAUAGAAAGCCACGGCUAACUACGUG